rnacentral:rRNA from 1 species
GUUGAUUUCUCAUAGCAGACUGCCUUGUACAGCAAGGAGGAAGGUGGGGAUGACGUCAAGUCAGCAUGGCCUUUAUGCCCUGGGCUACACACACGCUACAAUGGGUGGGCACAGAGGGUUGCCACGGAGCAAUCCGGAGCGAAUCCCUUAAAACCAUCCUCAGUUCGGAUUGUAGGCUGCAAUCGCCUGCAUGAAGCCGGAGCUGCUAGUAACCGCAGGUCAGCUAUACUGCGGUGAAUACGUUCUCGGGCCUU